CAACCUGGAAUACUCCAUGUUGU
rnacentral:miRNA from 1 species